rnacentral:rRNA from 1 species
UACAGAGGGGGCAAGCGUUGUUCGGAAUUACUGGGCGUAAAGGGCGCGUAGGCGGCCUGCUAAGUCGAACGUGAAAUCCCCGGGCUCAACCCGGGAACUGCGUCCGAUACUGGCAGGCUUGAAUCCGGGAGAGGGAUGUGGAAUUCCCAGUGUAGCGGUGAAAUGCGUAGAUAUUGGGAAGAACACCAGCGGCGAAAGCGCUCUACUGGGCCGCAACUGACACUCAUGGACGAAAGCUAGGGGAGCGAAAGGG